AGAGGCCCAUAAAAAGAUAAACCCACAUUUAUUCCAAAGGUCAUUGCUGAUGUGAACCGUUAAACUUUGCUCUCCUAUAUAAUCCCAACUAUGCUGCACCAUUUUCCCUCGCACCCAAAAAUCUCCUCUCUCUUUUUCCAUACUAAUACUCCUAUUAUGCAAUUGCUAGCUGAGUUUGAAGGUUUUUUCUUCAAGAAAUUGAUUGGAGCUUUGAUUUGGUGAAUGGAAUCUGUUCAAUAAGGGAAAAACUUGCAGCAGCCGAUUAAAGAAGAGAUUCAAUUGAUGCUCUUGAAUUAUUUAUUUUGUCAUCAAAUGGAAGAACUUCUUUUAUCAUAUUUUAAUGGAUAUUGAAGAAUCUGAAGGGACAACCUUAUUUCGGCACAAAAGGGACUACCUAGCUUAGUUUAUUUUAUUUGAACUAUCAAGUUUGUAAAUACAUUGUAAAAUAGUAUCAUGAUAGAUUGUAAUUUGAGAUGAUGAAUUUAUGGAUUCCUUAUUCUUUUUCA